rnacentral:rRNA from 1 species
GAUGAACGCUGGCGGCGUGCCUAAUACAUGCAAGUCGAGCGGACAGACGAGGAGCUUGCUCCUCUGACGUUAGCGGCAGACGGGUGAGUAACACGUGUAUAACCUACCUAUAAGACUGGGAUAACUUCGGGAAACCGGCGCUAAUACCGUAUAACAUGUUGAACCGCAUGGUUCAACAGUGAAAGAUGGUCUUGCUGUCACGUAUAGAUGGAUCCGCGCCGCAUUAGCUAGUUGGUAAGGUAACGGCUUACCAAGGCAACGAUGCGUAGCCGACCUGAGAGGCUGAUCGGCGACACUGGAACUGAGACACGGUCCAGACUACUACGGGAGGCAGCAGUAGGGAAUCUGCCGCAAUAGGGGAGAGCCUGACGGAGCAACGCCGCGUGAGUGAAGAAGGUCUUCGGAUCGUAAAACUCUGUUAUGAGGGAAGAACCAAUGUGUAAGUAAAUAUGCACGUCUUGACGGUACCUAAUCAGAAAGCAACGGCUAACUACGUG